rnacentral:lncRNA from 1 species
AAAGCAUGAGUCGACUCCUGCAGCAGCCGAGUCGACUCCAGAUCGCGCGAGUCGACUCCGAUCCCAACGGAAACAUUGUCAGGAUGUGCAGAAUGUGCAGAACGACUAGAAGAUUGUGUCUAACGGCUAGUUUUCGUGGGGAAUGGAUUAAAUAGCCACAGAGAACUGUAGCAAGGGAGAGAAGUGAUAUUCCUUUCAAAGAAAACAAGAAAUCUCCAGCUACCACUUGAUUUCAAAGAGCAUACAAAGGAAAAGAAGGAAGAGGGCCAUUAACUCCAUUCAACCAACUCUUCCCAGCAUUAAAGAAGUCUCCUUCAGCCUUCAAGUCUUCAAGACAUUCAAGAGGAGACCCAGAGUUCGAGAAGCCCUCCUCUACAUCUUCAUAAACUUGUUUGAGGGCUCUUAACUUCUCUCCUAUUUAUAUUGCUGAAUAUCUGCUUGUUUAGAAGCUGUAUUUUUCUAUUUGUUUUUCUAUCCAUUUGGUCCUUACUUGAUUCAAUCAGGGGAUUGAAUCAAGGGUGUAAAGGUUUGUUGGUGAGCCUAGGUU